AACGAACGCUGGCGGCAGGCUUAACACAUGCAAGUCGAACGGGUGUAGCAAUACAUCAGUGGCAGACGGGUGAGUAACACGUGGGAACCUUCCUAGGGGUACGGAACAACUCAGGGAAACUUGAGCUAAUACCGUAUACGUCCGUGAGGAGAAAGAUUUAUCGCCCUUAGACGGGCCCGCGUCGGAUUAGGUAGUUGGUGGGGUAACGGCCUACCAAGCCUACGAUCCGUAGCUGAUCUGAGAGGAUGAUCAGCCACACUGGGACUGAGACACGGCCCAGACUCCUACGGGAGGCAGCAGUGGGGAAUCUUGGACAAUGGGCGCAAGCCUGAUCCAGCCAUGCCGCGUGAGUGAAGAAGGCCUUAGGGUUGUAAAGCCCUUUUACCAGGGACGAUAAUGACGGUACCUGGAGAAUAAGCCCCGGCAAACUUCGUGCCAGCAGCCGCAGUAA
rnacentral:rRNA from 1 species